GAUGAAGAACGUAGCGAAAUGCGAUAAGUAAUGUGAAUUGCAGAAUUCAGUGAAUCAUCGAAUCUUUGAACGCACAUUGCGCCCGCCAGUAUUCUGGCGGGCAUGCCUGUUCGAGCGUCAUUACAACCCUCAGGCCCCCGGGCCUGGCGUUGGGGAUCGGCGGAAGCCCCCUGCGGGCACAACGCCGUCCCCCAAAUACGGUGGCGGUCCCGCCGCAGCUUCCAUUGCGUAGUAGCUAACACCUCGCAACUGGAGAGCGGCGCGGCCACGCCGUAAAACACCCAACUUCUGAAUGUUGACCUCGAAUCAGGUAGGAAUACCCGCUGAACUUAAGCAUAUCAAUAAGCGGAGGA
rnacentral:misc_RNA from 1 species